AAGUCGUAACAAGGUUCCGUAGGUGAACCUUCAUUAACACGUAUCCAAACGUUUAAAAGAAAGAAAACCCCCCUGUGAACAUUUGCUUGCUCUUGCAGCCCGCCUGGCUAGAAAAUCUCUGGUAAAUCAUCGUUGAACUAGUUUGAUUCGGGACCGCAUAAUGCGUACGUGAAAGUGGUAUUGGGUGAGAAACCCUUCUGGAUGAUGGACGGCCACCACGGCCGGUCGCUGCUGCUUGUGGGCGUUCGUGCGCCCCAGGAUUACCCCGCUACCAGUCGAAACGACCAACCUGCGCAACCAUUACGUGUUGAGCCCGUGGGCGCCGUAAACCGAAAUCCUUGAACAACUGUUAACAAUGGAUAUCUUGGUUCUC
rnacentral:misc_RNA from 1 species